UUUCCGUAGGUGAACCUGCGGAAGGAUCAUUAAAGUUAUAGUCCCCCGGCCCUCUGGGCUGGGGUCUUCUAUACCACCCUUUGUUUAUUACACCUUUGUUGCUUUGGCAGGCCUGCCCUCGGGCUGCUGGCUCCGGCCGGCUCGCGUCUGCCAGAGGACCUAAACUCUGUUUGUAUAUGAAGUCUGAGUACUAUAUAAUAGUUAAAACUUUCAACAACGGAUCUCUUGGUUCUGGCAUCGAUAAAGAACGCAGC
rnacentral:misc_RNA from 1 species